AGACCGAUAGCGAACAAGUACAGUGAUGGAAAGAUGAAAAGCACUUUGAAAAGAGAGUGAAACAGCACGUGAAAUUGUUGAAAGGGAAGGGCUUGCAAGCAGACACGGUUUUACCGGGCCAGCGUCAAAUAAACGGGGGGGAAAAGGGGGAAAGAAUGUGGCGCGUGCCUUCGGGUUCGCGUGUUAUAGCUUUCUCUAAUACCCCCAUGUUUGUUUGAGGCCUGCGAUUCUAGGACGCUGGCGUAAUGGUUGCAAGCCGCCCGUCUUGAAACACGGACCAAG
rnacentral:rRNA from 1 species